AUGGAUGAUCGGGAGGAGGCAAGGAGCAGAUGUGGGGGAAGAGGAGCUGUAGGGGGCGCACAACAACAGGACUAAGGGAGACGAUGCUGCUGCUAGCUAUGGUUUGGAUUGGGGAUUGUUUUAGAUCUGAGGCAUGGAUGGAGAAGGAGAGAAGACAACACCUAUUGAGGCAUGAAUUAUUAGGCCACGACUAAGCCUGCCAGUGGAUUGUAAUCCAAUCCAAAUCCAUUUGCACUCAACCAAACACAAUCCAAAUUAAAACCAACCCAUUUAACCUAUUUCCAUCCAACCCAUUAGCAGGUCUAGCCACGGCACAAUUGCCACCUGCGCUCAAUUUUUUUGCAUGGCGCGUCUUCCCUCCCGCCAAGACUAUUUGGGCUGUGCCAUUUUUUUCGGUGUAUAUAGACAUUGGGACACACAAAUUGAUAGGAUCAUUCUUAGUGGAAGAUAAUUUGCCAUCAUUCUUUUGCCGACAGACAAUGUACUGAAAUUUAUUUUUCUACUGGCAGACAGUGUGCCACUACCUAUACCGACAGACCGAGUGAAACCAAAAUGUUUUGUUUUUUUACCGAUACAACACA
rnacentral:lncRNA from 1 species